rnacentral:snoRNA from 1 species
ACGACCUAACUUGAACAGGAUCUGUUUUAUAGGCUCGUAUCUAUGUAUCCUUGAGUUCUAAGGUUGAAGUCAAAAUACCUUAUUGCAUCAAGUUAUAUGGCAGUCCUAAAUCUAAGGG